UGGGGAAUCUUCCGCAAUGGACGAAAGUCUGACGGAGCAACGCCGCGUGUAUGAUGAAGGUCUUCGGAUUGUAAAGUACUGUCAUUGGGGAAGAACGGUUUUCUUGAAAAGAUUGAGAAGACAUGACGGUACCCAAGGAGGAAGCCCCGGCUAACUACGUGCCAGCAGCCGCGGUAAUACGUAGGGGGCAAGCGUUGUCCGGAAAUUAUUGGGCGUAAAGGGCGCGUAGGCGGGCUUUUAAGUCCGGUGUGAAAGAUCAGGGCUCAACCCUGAGAGUGCAUCGGAAACUGGAGGCCUUGAGGACAGGAGAGGAAAGUGGAAUUCCACGUGUAGCGGUGAAAUGCGUAGAUAUGUGGAGGAACACCAGUGGCGAAGGCGACUUUCUGGACUGUAACUGACGCUGAGGCGCGAAAGCGUGGGGAGCAAACAGGAUUAGAUACCCUGGUAGUCCACGCCGUAAACGAUGAGUGCUGGGUGUAGAGGGUAUCGACCCCUUCUGUGCCGCAGUUAACACAAUAAGCACUCCCGCCUGGGGAGUACGGCCGCAAGGUUG
rnacentral:rRNA from 1 species